GCCGGGCGUGGUGGCUCACGCCUGUAAUCCCAGCCCUUUGGGAGGCCGAGGUGGGUGGAUCACCUGAGGUCAGGAGUUCAAGACCAGCCUGGCCAAUAUGGUGAAACCCCGUCUCUA
rnacentral:SRP_RNA from 1 species